CCUUUAGAGUUUGAUCCUGGCUCAGGACGAACGCUGGCGGCGUGCUUAACACAUGCAAGUCGAACGAUGAAGCCGCUUCGGUGGUGGAUUAGUGGCGAACGGGUGAGUAACACGUGGGCAAUCUGCCCUUCACUCUGGGACAAGCCCUGGAAACGGGGUCUAAUACCGGAUACCACUCUGUCCCGCAUGGGACGGGGUUGAAAGCUCCGGCGGUGAAGGAUGAGCCCGCGGCCUAUCAGCUUGUUGGUGGGGUAAUGGCCUACCAAGGCGACGACGGGUAGCCGGCCUGAGAGGGCGACCGGCCACACUGGGACUGAGACACGGCCCAGACUCCUACGGGAGGCAGCAGUGGGGAAUAUUGCACAAUGGGCGAAAGCCUGAUGCAGCGACGCCGCGUGAGGGAUGACGGCCUUCGGGUUGUAAACCUCUUUCAGCAGGGAAGAAGCGCAA
rnacentral:rRNA from 1 species